GUGAGGAAUAUUGGUCAAUGGACGGAAGUCUGAACCAGCCAUGCCGCGUGCAGGAAUAAGGUCCUAUGGAUUGUAAACUGCUUUUAUUCGGGAAUAAACCUCUUUACGUGUAGGGAGCUGAAGGUACCGAAGGAAUAAGCACCGGCUAACUCCGUGCCAGCAGCCGCGGUAAUACGGAGGGUGCAAGCGUUAUCCGGAAUCAUUGGGUUUAAAGGGUCCGCAGGCGGGCUAUCAAGUCAGAGGUGAAAUCCCACAGCUUAACUGUGGAACUGCCUUUGAAACUGAUGGUCUUGAAUUAAGUGGGCGUUGGCGGAAUAUGACAUGUAGCGGUGAAAUGCAUAGUUAUGUCAUGGAACACCGAAAGCGAAGGCAGCUAACGAUACUUAUAUUGACGCUCAUGGACGAAAGCGUGGGUAGCGAACAGGAUUAGAUACCCUUGUAGUCC
rnacentral:rRNA from 1 species